UACAGAGGUCCCAAGCGUUGUUCGGAUUCACUGGGCGUAAAGGGUGCGUAGGCGGUCGGGUAAGUCUGACGUGAAAUCUCCAAGCUCAACUUGGAAAUGGCGUCGGAUACUAUUCGGCUCGAGGAGUGGAGGGGAGACUGGAAUUCUCGGUGUAGCAGUGAAAUGCGUAGAUAUCGAGAGGAACACCAGUGGCGAAGGCGAGUCUCUGGACACUUCCUGACGCUGAGGCACGAAAGCCAGGGGAGCAAACGGGG
rnacentral:rRNA from 1 species